rnacentral:rRNA from 1 species
CCUACGGGAGGCAGCAGUGAGGAAUAUUGGUCAAUGGACGAGAGUCUGAACCAGCCAAGUAGCGUGAAGUAUGACUGCCCUAUGGGUUGUAAACUUCUUUUAUAUGGGAAUAAAAUGUUCCACGUGUGGGAUUUUGUAUGUACCAUAUGAAUAAGGAUCGGCUAACUCCGUGCCAGCAGCCGCGGUAAUACGGAGUAUCCGAGCGUUAUCCGGAUUUAUUGGGUUUAAAGGGAGCGUAGGUGGAUUGUUAAGUCAGUUGUGAAAGUUUGCGGCUCAACCGUAAAAUUGCAGUUGAAACUGGCAGUCUUGAGUACAGUAGAGGUGGGCGGAAUUCGUGGUGUAGCGGUGAAAUGCUUAGAUAUCACGAAGAACUCCGAUUGCGAAGGCAGUUCACUGGACUGCAACUGACACUGAGGCUCGAAAGUGUGGGUAUCAAACAGGAUUAGAUACCCGAGUAGUC